UUGAGUUAAACAUUAAUGAAGCCUAAAAGUUUUUUUGAUGUUAUUUUUCAAUUACUUAUAUAUUCUAUUAAAAAUAAUUUUGAAAAUAGCUAAAAUUAUAAAGAAAAAGAUAAUCUAUAGGUCGAGCAAACUAAUACUUCAUAUGAUAAAUUUCAUAAACCCAGCAUAAAGCAUAAUUUUCUUUAACAAAUAAGCAAAAACACCGACAACAAAGGCAAAUAACUUAUCCUAGAACUGUGUUUAAUUGCUCUCCUUCACUUCAAA
rnacentral:misc_RNA from 1 species